UACGUAGGGUGCAAGCGUUGUCCGGAAUUAUUGGGCGUAAAGAGCUCGUAGGCGGUUUGUCGCGUCGAAUGUGAAAACCCGGGGCUCAACCCCGGGCCUGCAUUCGAUACGGGCAGACUAGAGUUCGGUAGGGGAGUCUGGAAUUCCUGGUGUAGCGGUGAAAUGCGCAGAUAUCAGGAGGAACACCGGUGGCGAAGGCGGGACUCUGGGCCGAUACGUACGCUGAGGAGCGAAAGCGUGGGGGAGCGAACAGG
rnacentral:rRNA from 1 species